rnacentral:tRNA from 1 species
UAGGGAGACCUACCCAUUGAGGAAUCGAAAGCGGAGAGCGAAUAGAGAAUCAAGUGGUCUACUCUAGGUCGGUGACGUGAGAUUGUGAAGUCUUUCAAACUAAUAUUUGGUUCGCGAGAGGGCUAUUAGCUCAGGUGGUUAGAGCGCACCCCUGAUAAGGGUGAGGUCCCUGGUUCGAGUCCAGGAUGGCCCACCUGGGGGUUUAGCUCAGCUGGUAGAGCGCCUGCUUUGCAAGCAGGAUGUCAGCGGUUCGAGUCCGCUAACCUCCACAUUAGGUAUCUUCAGCAACUAGGAAAGACCUAGACUGCUGGUGAUGAACCAGCCAGAACCUUGAAAACUGCAUAUAGAAAGAUAAGAGUAAAGAGUAAGU